UACGGAUAACAUGAUGCAAACAUAUCAUCUAACUGACCUAAAGCUAAGGCCUUGGGUCCAAUCUCUUAGGUUGGUAGGUAGAUUCUUUAAAUGGGUUCAUCUCUAAGCCUCAUGCAGUUACUUUGGGUCCAGUUUCUUAUGCAAAAAUCAAGACACAAACUCAAUCAUUAAUUGAAUCAUUGAAACAACACAACACAAAACUAUUUAAUUUGAAUUUUGAAUUGAUG
rnacentral:lncRNA from 1 species